AUAAAAAUCUAAUCCCUGUUUUCCUCUUUUCAAUACACAGCUUUGUUCAGAUAGCCAUCCCAUCACUGCUUCUAGAGAAUGCAUCUUGAUUGCUCCAAGCUACCCAGUGUAUGGCAUUAACAUGGCGACUGCCAUUAGUCUGACCUAGUCAGAUAAACAUGAGGAUUUACAUUCCAUAUUUGGGAAAUAAGUUCUCUGUUUCUCACUAAAUAUGAACCAAAAAAUUUGUGACAGUCCCAGGUCACAAAUUCAGCCAUCGUGUAAUCACCACAGAAAAGAGUCUGAGGAGCAGGCUAACACAUCAAGGGUGAUAGAAAGCCCCCAGUGACAUGGUUCAGUCAACAAUCAAUUCUUGAGCACUGACAAAUUCUGGAGAUAAGAAAUACCUUUAUUGCUUAGGCUAUUUCUGUCAGAAUUUCCAGUACUUACAGUUCACAGCAUACUAACGGAUUAAAUACAGUUUAAGAGUAAUCUAGCUGAAAAUGCAAACAAUUAUAUUUCACAGAUUGAGCCUUCUCAUGGUAUUGAAUUCCACUGGCAUACAAUUAGUAAUAUCUGAUAUAUUAAUUUCAAGACCAGUUUUAGGAAAAAAUUCACCUUAAGCAUGGGAAACAAAAAGUGCUUUUAAAGACUUACAGUUAUACUCAUAAAGCAAGAGCUUUAAAAUGUUGAAUAAACUGUUUAGGCAAAACAAACCACGUUAUUGAUGAAGACUGAAAAAUGUUUAAAAUUAGAUUAAGUUUAAUUUUGCCCAUGAUUCAGUUUAAGGAAAUAAUGAAAAAUUUGUUUUAUACAGAUAUAUUAUUAGAAAGUAUCCAGUUUGUAAGAUGCUUUAAAUUUUUAACCUUAAAGAAAUUUUGUUUUCUCUCUCAAAUAUACCCCAGAAUUAAUGGAAAAAAUAAGGACCAAAUAACAAGGUGGGAGGGGGGUUCAUGUUUGGGAAUGCAUGUAAGAAUUAAAGAUUUUAAAAUUAAAAAAAAAAAAGACCAAAGCAAUAAAGGCAGAAAUUAUCCUAAGAAUCAAACAAUGUAA
rnacentral:lncRNA from 1 species